CCUCUGGCAGAGCAGAUCUAUGCAACCACAUAUGUUAGAGGUCCAAAGCUUAACUUCACCAGACAGAGAUCCUGAUGCAGCUCUUCAUACAAUACUAAAAUGGAUUUCCCUUCAGGUCUCAAGUACAUGAUCAUAAUUGUUCCAUAAAAGACACUGACCACAGCAAGGAAAGAAUGAAUGGCUGAUUACUGACAACAUUCAAAAGAGAUGCAAUUCUUUCACUUUAAAUUUUUAGAUUGCCAAAGCUGUAUAGAAAAAAUAAAAAUGAAAUAAAAACUGUUU